AGGUGCCGGCGGCUGGCGGCCGCGGAGUCUUCGGCGAGACUUACCGGGCCCUGUCUGUGCCGGCCGUGAGCUGCGGCAGGACGGCUGGAGUAAAUCUUGGUGCCAAUAAUGGAACGAACACUGGACACAGGACUGGGGAAGACUGGAUUUCAGCUUAGGAGAAGAGUAUUGGAACAGUUGUGCUGCUACCAGCGAUGCGUGGGAGCUGUGUACAGAUUCAGCCGACAACUAUGAGCCUUGGAGAUCAUCUUAAGUAUCUUGUGUUGUUAAUAGGCCAGCGGUGGAACCUCGUUUAGUUGAUGUUUCUCUGAGGUUGGGUUUUGUCCUUAUGUUCGUUGGUUGGUUGCAUCUCCUCUCUUGUGAACUGUAAGCUUAUACCUUCUCAAUUUUUUUUUGAAGCUCUUGGUGUUUUCUGGAUUGAUUUUUGUGAGCUGUUUAUAUAAUAAAGUUAUUUGUAUUUUGACAUUUUGAAUAUAUUUGCAGACUUCCUGUUUGGCUUUUAAAUUUCUUAUCUUUUAUUUAUUAACUUAUAGAAG
rnacentral:sRNA from 1 species